rnacentral:rRNA from 1 species
GUGCAAGUCGAACGGUGACGAACAGAGCUUGCUUUGUUCUGAUCASUGGCGAACGGGUGAGUAACACGUGAGUAACCUGCCCCAGACUCUGGAAUAAGCGCUGGAAACGGCGUCUAAUACCGGAUACGAAACGAANCUGCNUGGCUAUCGUUUGGAAAGUUUUUCGGUUUGGGAUGGACUCGCGGCCUAUCAGCUUGUUGGUGAGGUAAUGGCUCACCAAGGCGACGACGGGUAGCCGGCCUGAGAGGGCGACCGGCCNCACUGGGACUGAGACACGGCCCAGACUCCUACGGGAGGCAGCAGUGGGGAAUAUUGCACAAUGGGCGAAAGCCUGAUGCAGCGACGCCGCGUGAGGGAUGACGGCCUUCGGGUUGUAAACCUCUUUCAGCAGGGAAGAAGCGCAAGUGACGGUACCUGCAGAANAAGCACCGGCUAACUACGUGCCAGCAGCCGCGGUAAUACGUANGGUGCGAGCGUUGUCCGGAAUUAUUGGGCGUAAAGAGCUUGUAUGCGGUUUGUCNCG